rnacentral:rRNA from 1 species
AAAUUGAAGAGUUUGAUCAUGGCUCAGAUUGAACGCUGGCGGCAGGCCUAACACAUGCAAGUCGAACGGUAACAGGAAGCAGCUUGCUGCUUUGCUGACGAGUGGCGGACGGGUGAGUAAUGUCUGGGAAACUGCCUGAUGGAGGGGGAUAACUACUGGAAACGGUGGCUAAUACCGCAUAACGUCGCAAGACCAAAGAGGGGGACCUUCGGGCCUCUUGCCAUCAGAUGUGCCCAGAUGGGAUUAGCUUGUUGGUGAGGUAACGGCUCACCAAGGCGACGAUCCCUAGCUGGUCUGAGAGGAUGACCAGCCACACUGGAACUGAGACACGGUCCAGACUCCUACGGGAGGCAGCAGUGGGGAAUAUUGCACAAUGGGCGCAAGCCUGAUGCAGCCAUGCCGCGUGUAUGAAGAAGGCCUUCGGGUUGUAAAGUACUUUCAGCGGGGAGGAAGGUGUUGUGGUUAAUAACCGCAGCAAUUGACGUUACCCGCAGAAGAAGCACCGGCUAACUCCGUGCCAGCAGCCGCGGUAAUACGGAGGGUGCAAGCGUUAAUCGGAAUUACUGGGCGUAAAGCGCACGCAGGCGGUCUGUCAAGUCGGAUGUGAAAUCCCCGGGCUCAACCUGGGAACUGCAUUCGAAACUGGCAGGCUUGAGUCUUGUAGAGGGGGGUAGAAUUCCAGGUGUAGCGGUGAAAUGCGUAGAGAUCUGGAGGAAUACCGGUGGCGAAGGCGGCCCCCUGGACAAAGACUGACGCUCAGGUGCGAAAGCGUGGGGAGCAAACAGGAUUAGAUACCCUGGUAGUCCACGCCGUAAACGAUGUCUACUUGGAGGUUGUGCCCUUGAGGCGUGGCUUCCGGAGCUAACGCGUUAAGUAGACCGCCUGGGGAGUACGGCCGCAAGGUUAAAACUCAAAUGAAUUGACGGGGGCCCGCACAAGCGGUGGAGCAUGUGGUUUAAUUCGAUGCAACGCGAAGAACCUUACCUGGUCUUGACAUCCACAGAAGAAUCCAGAGAUGGAUUUGUGCCUUCGGGAACUGUGAGACAGGUGCUGCAUGGCUGUCGUCAGCUCGUGUUGUGAAA